ACAAGUUUGAAAGUACACAUGUUCUUCCAAAUACACCAGGUCCAUUAGUGCCCUGGUUUAAAGACUAUGAAAAUAUGCAGUAUUAAUAAACAGUGGCGACAUUUCCUGGCAGCAAAGAUGUUGUUCAGCGGAGAGGAAGCUAAAUGCUACAAAUGCAGCCCUUGAGUUGUCACCAGCUGGAAGAUGGAAAAAUACUUUGAAGAUUUCCCCCAACCCCAUGAUCUCCUCAUCUUUAAAUGCCAGAUCUCUGGCUUCUCAGCCCUUGGAGAGGAGUAUAACUCAGUCCAAUUUGGCCUUACUCCCAUGCACCAAUUGCCGGGGGGAUGUUAUUUGCCGAGUACAAGUAGUUCUCAAUGGACCUUGGUUGGAGACAUCAGAGGAAUUCCAUUUCCAUAUGCUAUCAUAGUUGCUAGGAAAAAUCUUUCCAUGUUUACAGUAUUACUUUACAGCUGAAAAAUGUAAGAAUGUACCGUGGUUUGUUUAUCCAUUCACCUCUUGAAGGACAUCUUGGAUUCUUCAGUUUAUGGCCACUGCCUUGUACCAUAAACAUCAGGCAGAUUUUGUGUGGAGGUGAGUUUUCAACACAUUUGGAUAAAUACCUAGGGGUGUGAUUGCUUGAUCACAUGGUAAGGGUAUGUUUAAUUUUGUUAAGAAACUGCCAAACUGUGUUCCAAAGAGGUUGUAUUAUUUUACAUUACCUCCAGCAAUGAAAAGAGUAUUCUUGUUUCUUUCAUGAAUUCUUUAUACAUUGGUAACUAAUUCAAAAAACAAAUGUUUAACAAAUAGACUGGUAACCUAGUUGUAGAUGAAAAAUAUCCAGAGAAUGAACGUCUUAAGUUAGGUUCAAUUUACCAGUUGUAACUUACCUUCUUUCAUUUUGGAACGUAAUUUGGGUCUUUCUGUUUCAGUAAUUAAGAUACUUCCCAUUACAUGUCUCCUGAAAUCCACAUUGAAAUCCUGGCCUCCCCAAGAGCAAUGUGUGCUAUAUUAAAUUUGGUCUUUGUUGAUUUCUUUUCCUUUCUAUAUUUACCUGCAAAUUUGGUUAAAAUUAUUUUGACUACAUCUGUGAGGCACUUUCCCAAAUGAUUUUUACUAGGAUAUAUUCUAUUUUUAAAGUGACUUUAAACAAAAACUUUUAUUAGCCAUUUAAUGUUAAUCUAAUUUCACACCAUACUUCACAGUUUCUUAGCAAAUACCUGUAUGCUCAAAUACAUUGAUGAGUUUUUCAAUAAUCUAUGUACUUUCCUAACUUAUUGAUUUUGUGUCACAAAUAUAUUUAUAAUUUACCAUUAUACACUAUGUAAGCUGAGAUUAUUUUUUAGUC